GGGGUCUGCAGGGGAGGAGAGCAGAGCUAGGAACGAGCUUCCUUUGCUGUUGGCUUCAUCUCCAACCACAA
rnacentral:sRNA from 1 species